GAGCCACUGAAUCAAUUUCAAACCAGCAUCCUUCCAGAUGUGUUGAACCUCAACUUCUAUGGUGCUGGCUAAUGUUCGAUAAGGUGACCUAGAUGGGGAAAUCUGGAGUACAAAAGUGGACUGAUUAGCGGAAUUGCAAAACCACCACAACACCAAAAAAGAACAAUCAGUCUUCAGCCGGGCCCCUCCCGUCUCCAACUCCGAGUCUGAUAAUGAAGAUGAACGGCCUGUCAUGACUCCAGCCCCUGGCCCUGGCCCCAUGCCCAGAGAGGAUUCAAAGAGUGAAAGGAGAAGCCCAGUAAACCUCACUCAUACAGCGUGUGUUCCUUUGGCUCAGCCUUCAGAGCAGGAAGCCAGCCAGGUGAUGGAAUUACCCGGGCCUACUCCCUCUGACCCCUCCCUUUCCCAGACACUGACAGCACAUCCAGCUGAAGACAAUUCAGAGUGGGUGGACCCUCGCUUCCGGAGAUCUGAGGCGCGACGCCAGCAGAAGGAAGGGUGGGGCAGGCCUGGAUAAAUGCUGAGUCAUGGAGCCACACCCCACAGCCUAUAUAAAGGACCUGCUUUUGGUAUUCCAACCUUGAGUCAAGCAAAAUCUUAUCUAGUUUGCUGAUAUCGGACCCUAUCACUGAAGUCACAACUUGGACUCCUGCCUGCCCUGAUAAACCUCGAAGGAACUUGGCAAGCUGCAGAGGCUUCGUUGCCAAGUUUGUUACGGACUUCCUUGACUCGUUCGUCGGAGUGGGAGUAGGACACGACAUUCCUCAUGUCAGUUAUCUAAAGGUAAUCUAAGUAUCAUUUCAAAAUACCUACCAUGUUUCCCCAGAAAUAAGACCCUGUCAUAUUUUUUUGAACCCAGAAAUAAGCGCUUGGCCUUAUUUUCAGGGAGGUCUUAUUAUUUUGGGGCACAUGAAGCAAGAUGGGGCUCUUCUUGCCGUCUUACCUGAUUUCCAGCUCUGUCUCCCUAAUCCUAACCCUAACCAGAGGAAAUGGCGGGGACCAGCUGCGCAUGUGGUUUAAUAUUUUUCAGAGGGGCCCUUAUUUUAGGAGAAACAUGGUAUAUCCGUUCAGCCUUUCAUAAAAAGUUUUAGAAACAGAUUUCUUAGUGGGAGCAUAAUUUUUCUCACACCCUGCCAUAAAACUUCCAAUAUUAUCUGAACUCAGAUGCCUUAAACGCUCAGAUGUCUUUAUCCCAAAAGGAAACUUACAGCUCUUUGAGUUGCAGAAAACAGAGGUGUGCCUGGCAGAAACAGAAACAUCAAAAGGGCUGCUGAUCAUUAGCUGGGGUUUCAUUCCCCAUUCCACUCGGCUCAUUUUAAGAUAAAUUUAACUAAUUUGCAACAUUGCACUAACAUCUAUCAGUGUGUCCGGAGGCUUGAUUUCAGCAAGUUAUGAGAUAUUAAUUAUACUGGAGACAAAAAAUGUAAUCUUUAAAUUAAAGGUUUGUUUCUAAUGUUUCAUGCGGUCUCUUUUCUUCAGUUAUGUUUCCAGGAAAAUGUAUAAUCUGAUCUUGAUCAAAACCUGACUAUUCCAAUAUAUUUAACUAAAUAUAUUCCUGUUCCUUCCAAGGGCUCUUAGCUGCCAUUUUGCUGCCACCCAUUCCUCAGGAAACUUGGACCAUAAGAAAGGCUGAGCGCCAAAGAAUUGAGGCCUUUGAACUAUGGUGCUGGAGAAGACUCCUGCAAGUCCCUUGGACUGCAAGGCGAUCAAACCGGUCAGUCCUAGAUCAAUCCUGACUGCUCUUUAGAAGGCCAGAUCCCGAAGAUGAAACUCAAAUACUUUGGCCACCUAAUGAGAAGGAAGGACUCACUGGAGAAGAACCUAAUGCUGGGAAAGAUUAAGGGCAAAAGAAGAAGGGGACGACAGAGAACGAGGUGGCUGGCUGGAGUCACUGAAGCAGUCAGCGUGAGCUUAAAUGGACUUCAGAGGAUGGUAGAGGACAGGAAAACCUGGAGGAACGUUGUCCAUGGGGUCAUGACUUCGCAACUAACAACAAAUUCCUCAGGAUGACAGCAACUGAGCAGAAGAACAUUUUAGCAGACAAAGCUGCUUUUCUAUUUCAUAUGAUGAAAAAACUGCAUUUGUGAACUGCUGCUUCUUGUACAGCUCUUAUGGUCAAGCAAUCCUGUUGGGAAACAGAACUGGAUCUUUAGCACAUGCUAAAGUCUGCAUAAAACUAAAGAGCAGAAUAAGAAAGGCGGGAGUGCUUGUUUUACACACAUCACAGCCCAGGUUUAUUUUAAUCAUGGUUAUUGAACACACAGUGCCAAGCCAUAAACUGUUUUAGAAAUACCUCGGGAUGAACCAGAAUUAAGACAUACUAAAACUUGGUAUGAUUUGUGUUUUCAGCCAUUAUGUCUCUGUGUUUUGUUCUACAAAAUUGUGCAGAAUUAAAACACAGUUUCAUGUAGCUUGAAAGCUAGUAUUCCAGAUAUUAGCUGCAUAUUUCCUCUGUAUUUAUUAUUUAGAAUAAAUAACCCUCCUGAGAAUUUAAUAAGAAAUAGAUUUUCCUCAGCAAUAAAAUUAGUUUCCAUGAUCAUUUGACUUUUCAGUAAUUGUAAACUGACGCACUCUAACAAUGUUGCUGAAUUUCUUUUUAUAUUUUAAAAAAGUACAACUAAAAAAGUACUAUUCAAAAUAUUUGUUAUUGAGUGGUACAGAAAUUUUAAAAAUACUUCAACAAUAAGCAAAAAAUAAUAACAACAACAUUGCUUAAAAAUCCUAUUCUUACCACGAGAAAAUAAAAAUGCACACUUAUCUGCUCCAUGCCCUUAUUUCUUAAAAAUAUUGAUCAUUUCGUGGUUCAGUUGGCUAAUUUACUAAAUAAAGCUUACCCAUACUAAUAAAAAAUACAGACUUGAAAUGGUAACCAUUCAUUGGUGUUCAGUGUUGGUGCAUUAUUUUUCAAAUACUGUAUGUAGCAAUGCAGGGAUCAUUCUAUCAAGAAGAUAGGUGGCAUUUAAAUUUAAUAAAUAAAUAUAUGCAAACACACCUGAGAAAAUACCACAUCUGAAUACUUUAAAUAGCGCAACAGCAGAAACUAAAUGGUAUGUGUUGCUAUCUACUUCAAUAUUGAUUUUAUUUGUUUUGGAGUGUUAUACCUGUUUGCCUGUUUAUGAAAAAGUCAGCCUUGUAAUGGCAGAAUGCAGACUUUGCAAACAGAGCUGAUGAAGACAAAGAAUACCAGUACAGCUCUUCCAAGGUGGAAGAAGAUCCAGCCAUACACUUACAAUGUCCAAGGCAGGA